rnacentral:rRNA from 1 species
CUACGGGGGGCUGCAGUGGGGAAUCUUGGACAAUGGGCGCAAGCCUGAUCCAGCCAUGCCGCGUGAGUGAUGAAGGCCUUAGGGUCGUAAAGCUCUUUCGCCAGAGAUGAUAAUGACAGUAUCUGGUAAAGAAACCCCGGCUAACUCCGUGCCAGCAGCCGCGGUAAUACGGAGGGGGUUAGCGUUGUUCGGAAUUACUGGGCGUAAAGCGCGCGUAGGCGGACUAGUCAGUCAGGGGUGAAAUCCCGGGGCUCAACCCCGGAACUGCCUUUGAUACUGCUAGUCUAGAGUUCGAGAGAGGUGAGUGGAAUUCCGAGUGUAGAGGUGAAAUUCGUAGAUAUUCGGAGGAACACCAGUGGCGAAGGCGGCUCACUGGCUCGAUACUGACGCUGAGGUGCGAAAGUGUGGGGAGCAAACAGGAUUAGAUACCCCUGUAGUC